UGUAGGAUCCUAGUUCCUCAACCAGAGAUCAAACUCGGAACCCCUGCAUCGGAAGCAUGGAGUCUUAACCACUGGACCAUCAGGGAAGUCCCUUGUAUUGUAUAUUU